rnacentral:lncRNA from 1 species
AUGCAGAGUUGUAUACCUGCAUCUGAUGAUGUUGUGAGCUUCAUUUUUUUACAGUUUGACAAUGUGUCGACACAGCAUCACAGCAUCACAUCAGUGUGUCUACACAUCAGCGUGUCUACACAGCAUCACAGCAUGUAUCAGUGUGGCUACACAGCAUCACAGCAUCACAGCAUGUAUCAGUGUGUCUACACAUCAUGUAUCAGUGUGUCUACACAGCAUCACAGCAUGUAUCAGUGUGUCAUCACAGCAUGUAUCAAUGUGUCUACACAGCAUGUAUCAGUGUGUCUACACAGCAUCACAGCAUGUAUCAAUGUGUCUACACAGCAUCACAGCAUGUAUCAAUGUGUCUACACAGCAUCACGGCAUCACAGCAUGUAUCAGUGUGUCUACACAGCAUCACAGCAUGUAUCAAUGUGUCUACACAGCAUCACAGCAUGUAUCAAUGUGUCUACACAGCAUCACAGCAUGUAUCAAUGUGUCUACACAGCAUCACAGCAUGUAUCAAUGUGUCUACACAGCAUCACGGCAUCACGGCAUGUAUCAGUGUGUCAUCACAGCAUGUAUCAAUGUGUCUACACAGCAUGUAUCAGUGUGUCUACACAUCAGUGUGUCUACACAGCAUCACAGCAUGUAUCAGUGUGUCUACACAGCAUCACAUCAGUGUGUCUACACAGCAUCACAGCAUGUAUCAGUGUGUCUACACAGCAUCACAGCAUGUAUCAGUGUGUCUACACAGCAUCACAGCAUGUAUCAGUGUGUCUACACAGCAUCACAGCAUGUAUCAGUGUGUCUACACAGCAUCACAGCAUGUAUCAGUGUGUCUACACAGCAUCACAGCAUGUAUCAGUGUGUCUACACAGCAUCACAGCAUGUAUCACUGUCUACACAGCAUCACAGCAUGUAUCCGUGUGUCUACACAGCAUCACAGCAUGUAUCGGUGUGUCUACACAGCAUCACAGCAUGUAUCAGUGUGUCUACACAGCAUCACAGCAUGUAUCAGUGUGCAUAUGGAAGGUUUUUCUCUAUGUCUGCUGCAAGGUAAAUCUCCUGCAUGGUAACUCUCCUGCAUGGUAA